GGAGGAUUGGCAGAGCGGCUUAAUGCGCACGCUUGGAAAGUGUGUAAUCGGUUAAACGAUUCGUGAGUUCGAAUCUCACAUCCUCCACCA
rnacentral:tRNA from 1 species